rnacentral:lncRNA from 1 species
CAUUUAUUGAGUACAUACGAUUUACAAGUUAUGCAUAGCCAUUGCCUACCUUAUGUUUACAAUCUAGUUGGGAAAAUGGGAUAUACACACAAAAUAACAUUAGUAGAUAAUAAGAAAGCACUAUAUACUAAUACAAUAAAGUGCUAAAUUAUAUAAUAAAAGCAACUAGAAAAUAACAAUGUCAUAGUAACAAUAAUAGCAUGAAUACAAUGUUUUAUAGUAUAUGAAGCUUUUCCUUCUCUCAAAAUAAUGCUAUAAGAUACAACAGGAUAAUAUAUAAUAAGGUGCUAAUCGUGCAGUACAGGCAUCCUAACAUGAUGUUAGAGAUGCAUCAACAAGGAAACAAUUCUACUCAAAUCAAAAAUUAAACAUUGAUUAAGCAAUAUAGUAGCAUUUAUAUAGCAGAACAAUUUGCUUGGUAGAUUAGACAGAUAGUUCUUUGCCCUCAAGAAGUUUACAAUAAAGAUAUGAUACAAAUGCAAAUAACUAUGAUUUUUUAAAAAGACAGCAAGAAUUGUGAAAGAAGUGAAAACAAAGUGCCAUGUGAGGUACUACGAGGGAAAGAUGUUUUCUCUCAAUUUAACAAACACUGAUUAAGCACCUACUCUGUGCAAUUUAUUAAAUGCCUACUAUGUGCAAUAUUUGAAAGCACCUACUCCGUGCAAUGUUUAUUAUUAAGUACCUACUAUGUGCAAACCAUUAAGCGCAUACUACAUUGCCACAUGCAAAAGCUAGAAAGGAAGGCUUUCUCAACUAUAUUCCAUAUUGAUUAGGCCUUAUUCAGAGGUGAAAAAUUACUUUUUUUGUGUGGGCCUUUAUUUUGAAGAAGCAUGAGAACAUGAGAACAGCACCGGGUUUGUUUGUUUGUUUGUUUUAAAAGAUGAUGGGCCUUGUUUAGUCUGGAGAAGAAAAUGCUGAGGAAUAAUUUGUUCUUGAAAUUGAAAUUUAGGAAGAUGUAUUUCACAAAUCUACAUCUCCAUUUUGAAGAAGAAUAUGAAGGGAACUGGUUUGAGGAUAUUUAGAACAAAAAACAAUGUUAUCAACAAUUAAGUUUGUAAAACAUUGUGAAAAAAGUUUUUCCGAGAGGUUAUAAGGCCUCUUGCCCAAUAAGAUGAAAAAGGACUGGGAUGGUUUAGAUGCUGUCUUCUCCUGAAGUAGGACUAUUUAACAUAGCUGAGCUCAUAGAACUUAGAUCUCGGGAAACUUCAGUUGAACAUUGACAUGCCAAAGUCUCCCAAUUCCAUUUUUCUAGGCUCCCAAUGAAAUGAAUAGUCCCAAAGCAUUCGUUUAUGCCAGUCCAACAAAAUUUUGGAAUUCUCAACACUUGAAUUUUGUCAUCUGUAAAAUGGGGGAGUAUCAAAAAUAAUUCCUGUUAAAUUGAAUUAGGUGAGGUAAAUAUACUUUGUAGCAAAGAAAUGGAAACAACCCACCCAUGCUCGUGAAUCUAAAAAUAUGGCAAAACAAAUCAGUGUUAAUACUAUGCUAAUAAAAUUGAACUAAAACAAAGGUUGCAUUGUGUUGAAAUAAAAGAUGUAUUAUAUCCGGGGAAAAAAUGACUAUAAAGAUGAACACCAUUUAAAGAUUUAUAUGAGAUAAAUACAGGUGAAUUUAGCAGAAGUUUGGGGAAAUGAAAAGAUGGGAGGAAAAAAACAAAAGAUAAACCUGAAUUAAGAUAAUUGAAAACAACAAAAACAAUUCUAGAGGUGAAAGAAUGAAAUAUGCCUCCAAUAUUGUCAUAAGAGAAUGAGGAACUUGUGAGGCUAUUGGAAUUACUGUAACAUUUGAAACAGAUUGUACAAUUUUAACUACUAUUACUACAAAUCAGAUAUUUUUUAUUACUCAAAAAGGAAAAUGAAAAAGAAAAUAGAUAAAUAUUUGAACUAUUCAAAAUUGCUUUUCUUUUCUUUUUUCUUUUUCUUUUUUUUGGAAACAAAGCGGUUUUAAUCACUUGCCCACAGUCACAGAUCUGGUAAGAUCAGCCACAUUGGGACACAGAUUCUCCCGAGUCCUAGGGACUGGUUCUAUGCCAAAACAAUGCAAAUUUUAAAAAAUAUUUGUUAAGCAUUUAUCAUCAACCUGAUCAUUUUAACCAAUGAGUAAGGCAGUGACAUAAAAUUAGAAAGUUAACAGCUUAUUAUAUUUAAGUAUGAAAAGGCAUGGUUCAAUGGGACUAAAAGAAAAAGGCCAAAUUAUAAGAAUGAGAUAAUAGAUAAAUGCCAGAAACUUCAAACAACAAUCAAAAUUAAUGAAGAAAAAAGAGUAAUUAAAGGAAGUAACAUUUAGUGGAAAAUAUCAUAAUGAAAAAUUAAUUCAUAACCUUAAAAAGAUAGGCAACACAAAAAUUUGCUUGAAAAAUGAAGUUGCAAUGAAAGAACUUAGGUAACAGUGAGUUUCCUUCUUAAAGGGUAUCAGGAAAGAGCAACUUCCAUUAGCCUUCAACCCAGUGCUCCUUCACCCUUGCCCUGAGUAAAAAGGAUGCCCUGAGUAACCAACUAUUGGAAAGAAAUCAGGAAUCCUGCCACUGGGAAAUGGCUGACCAAUCUAUAGCCAUACACUGCUGAAAUAGAAAACAUGUCUCCAACACUGGGCUGCAAGGUGAGACAUUACGGGUACAUGGUGGUAUUUAUCCUGUCAGACAGGGUUCCCUUUUCAAUGACUAUUGGAAGAGUGAAUUUCCUUUGCUAUGGGGCUAGGUCAAGAAAUAUCACACAUGGGGCAGAGAACCCUGUAGAGUCCUUGAUGAUAAUGGCAUGGAAGCCCCAUGUAACAGAGAAGUGGGUACAAAUCUGAGGGCCCUAUAGGUGAAGAAUGGCUGACAAGACUUUAUCUCUGCUCUGAGUAUUAUGUGAUUGGAGCAAAAGAGCAACAAGACUAUUGCAUGAGGUAUUGGAGUAUGCAAGAGGAUAGUGAGAUAGCUGAUUAGCAAGUAUCCCUGCUGCUCCAGGUGGGCAGAGAGGUUUACAGGUACAAUGUGGCACCUUCCCCAGCAAUGAAAGGUGGUUUGUGGUUGCAGUGAGUCUACUUGGCUACAGGGUCCCAAAAAGGAACAAUAUCCAUUGGCCUGCAAUACAAUGCUCCUUCAGCUUUGCCCUUGGUGGAAAGAAUGCUCUGAUUGGCCAAGUAUUAGAAAGAAACCAGGGGCCCUGCCUCUGGGAAGUGGCUGUCAACCUACAGCCAUAUAAAACUGAAAUCCUGGCCACUGACCAAUAGAAAGGAAAGACCUGCCCUCUGACUGAAUAUCAAGACCCUCCUUGGUCUCAGAGAGCAAGAUAGCUUGUUGGGCCCCAUCUCUGGGGUCAGAGUGGGGCCCUCUGGGUGAACUGCUGCUUCCCCUGGCAGACCAGGGCAGCAUGGAACUGACUGGUGACCCAACGUCUGGUUUUUUACUGUGGAGCAAAUGCCAGGAGGACUGACAUGAAGCUGGGGUAUGAUGCUCAUUCUAACUUGGUCCCACUGUAAGGCCAGUUCUUACUAGCAAUGGCAAACAAACAGGGACAACCUUCCUAUGGAGAAUAGCAGAUGAAUCCUUAAUCAUACACUGGCAGAAGGCUUGGAAUAGAAAUGCUGAGAAAAGUCUUUUCCUCUAAGUAGAAAUCAUGACCCUGUUUGGUCUCCAGAGAAUAAGUGAGUUUGCAAACCUCAGUGCUUAGGGGUGAGUAUCUAUGAAUGAAAAGGGAUAACUCCCAAGGCAGAGAGGCUCCCAUUUGAACUGGCUCUGCAUUAAGUGAUUUUAAGAUCUAGAAGGCCUAGGAAAGGAGCAAAAGAGGUGGGGGUGGUAUUCCAUAUACAUUAAACCUGAAAGCCAGUAGACUAGAAGCCCUUCCUGCCAGAGAAUGGGUAGGAAAUAGAAACAAGGCCUUUAUCUGUGAUUGGAAGGGCUAACAAAUGAGGGUCUAUGCAGUGGAUUUUGUUUCUCUCUCACUGUGUCUCUUCAAGCUCCAUAGCUGUACCCCUGGGCUGUGAGGUGAGGCACUACGGUGCAUGAUGGAGUUUACCCUGGAACACAGGGUUACCUUGUUGGAUGGCUGUGGAAAUAGUGAAUUUUCUUUGCCAUGGGACUGUCACCGACAAUAUUCCACAUGGCCAAGGAAACCAUAUGGAAUUCCCCUUGAUUAUGGUGGCAUGUAAGCCCCAUAUUACAAAGAAGUGGCUACAAACUGGGGACCCUACAGGAGAAAAAUAAAUGAGAAACCUUUAUCAGUACACUGAGGGACAGAGUAGGAGGCCAAUGAACAGUUUAAGAAAGCCUGCACAGAAAUUAAAAUGGAGAAGAGGAUAUUAGAAAAGGGGGCAAAAGUCAAGUCCCCAUACCUGGGCUAUGAGGUGAGGCAGUCUGGUGUAUCAUAGUAUUUACCCUGGCAGUCAAGGUAACCUUUUUGGAUCAUUGUGGGAAUCGUGCAUUUCUUUGCAAUAGGACUUGGACCAAUAGGAUUCCACAUGGGGCAGAGAACCAUGUGGAAUACCCAUUGGUAAGGAUGGGAUAUCAAGUCCAUAAACCAAAGAAGUAUUACAAACCUGGAACCCUAUGGGGCACAUAUUUAGCCUAUACUGAGGGGAUAGUGUUGGGGACCAAUGUACAGUGUAAGAAAGCCUGUGCAGAAAUCAAGUGCAAGAAUAGUAUAUUAGAAAAGAGAACUAAAGUCAAGUCCCCACCCCUGGGCUGCAAGGUGAGGCACUACAGGUGCAUGAUGGUGUUUACCCUGGGAGACAGGGAAACCUUUUUGGAUCACUGUGGGAAAUGGGCAUUUUCUUUGCUAUGGGACUUGAACCAAUAGGAUUCCACAUGGGGCAGACAACCAUGUGGAAUCCCAAUUAGUAAAGGUGGGAUGUCAACUCCUUAUAACAAAGAAGUGGUUCCAAACUGAGAGCCUAUGGGUGAGAAUGAAUAAGAAACAUUGAGAACAUGCUGAGGGGAUAUUGUUAGAAAACAAUGAACAGAGUAAGAAAGACUGUGCAGAAAUCAAAAGUGAAAACAGGAUAUUAGAAAAGAGAGGUAAAGUCAAGACCCCAUUCCUGGGCUGCGAGGUGAGGCACUACAGGUGCAUGAUGGUGUUUACCCUAGAGUACAGGGUUACCUUAUUGGAUGACUGUGGGAAGAGUGAAUUUUCUGUGCCAUAGGGCUGGCUCAAGGAUCAUCACACAUCGGGCAGAGAACAAUGUGGAAUACCCCUGAGUACUGUUGGUAUGUUGAACCCAUAUAACAAAGAAGUGGUUACAAACUGGGAGUCCUACAGGUGGAGAAUGAAUGAGAAAUCUUUACAGGACACUGGGUGUAAAGUGUUGGAUGCUAAUAAGCAUAAUAAUAAAGCCUGUUUUGCUUGAAACCAUACAGGGAAUAGCAAAGAUGCUUGAAAAUUGAGAAGAAAUAAAGACCUUACCUCUGGGCUGUGAAGUGAUGCAUUGUGGGAUGCCUGAUGGACUUUAUCAUGAUAGCAUUCCUUUUUGGAUGACUGUUGGAAUAGUGAAUUUUCUUUCCUAUUAGGCUGAAACCAGUAGCAUUCCACAUGGGACAGACAACCAUGUAGACUCUCCCUUUAUCCUGUUAAAAUGCAAGGCUCUGCCUUCAAGAAGUAAAUUAGUGACUGGUGUUGAAAAAUGGCUGAGAAACCUUUGUACUCUGAGGAUUAAGUGAUUAGGGCAAAAGAACAACAAAAGUUAUUGUUGAGGUAUUACAAUAUGUUAUAUAAAUAGCUAAUUAGAAUCCCUGCAGUCCCAGCUGAGCAGAGAGAUAGGGGAGUCUAGAUGCAGUGUGGCACCUUUUUUCAGAAAUCUCAUGUGGUUUGGGGUUGCAGUGAGUCUUCUUGGCUACAGGGUCUCAACAAGGAGCUACUUCCCUUGAUCUACAAUUCAGUGCUCCUUCACCCUUGCCCUGGAUGGAAAGGAUGCUCUGAUUGGCCAAGUAUUAGAAAGAAACCAGGGGCCCUGCCUCUGGGAAGUAGCUGUCAACCUAUAGUCAUAUAGUGCUGAAAUCCUGGUCACUGACCAAUAGAAAGGAAAGACCUGCCCUCUGACUGAAUAUCAAGACCCUCCUUGGUCUCAGAGAGCAAGAUAGCUUGUUGGGCCCCAUCUCUGGGGUCAGAGUGGGGCCCUCUGGGUGAACUGCUGCUUCCCCUGGCAGACCAGGGCAGCAUGGAACUGACUGGUGGUGACUCAAUGUCUGGUCUUUGCUAUGGGGCCAAUGCCAGGAGGACUGACAUGGAGUUGAGGCACCAUAUUCAUUUUUCUCUGGGUUAAUUGGAUUUUAAUAGAAAGCCCAGAUAAGGAGCAGAGGUGUUGGAGGUGAUUUCUGAUGGCCAUUCGACCUGCAUGCCUUUAGAAUGGAAGCUCUCCAUUCCCAAGAAUGGGUACAUAACCUACCUAUUUUCUUUUCUGUGAUUGGAAUUGCUAACCAACCAGGGUCUGUGCAGAGAAUUUUGUUUCUGUCUGCAUGUGGAGAGGUGGAAAUGUUGUUUAUGCUGUGUGUGUGUGUGCUAGAGAGAGAGAUAGAGAGAGAGAGACAGAGACAGACAGAGAGAGAUAGAGAGACAGAGACAGAGGAGAGGAGAGGAGAGAAGAGGAGAGGAGAGGAGAGAAGAAAGAUGGAAAGGGGGAGAGAGAGAGAAAGAGACAGAGGAAGAGAGAGACAGAGACAGAGAGACAAAGACAGACAGAGAGACAAAGAGAUUCCCAUAGAUAGGCAUAGGGACAGAGCCAGAAAGAAUGAGAGACAGAAAGACAGAGAGAGACAGAGACAGAAAGAGGGGAAAGAGACAGACACAGACAGAAGGAGAGAGAGUUAGAGACAAGAGACAGAGAGAGCAUUAAGUAUAGAGGAAUGAUACCUGAAAACUAAAACUACUCUUUUUAGCCUGAGAUUGUGUGAACAUUAAGUGUAAAAUAAUCUUUAGAAGAAAACAUGCCUUUAAUCCCAGACUAAGAGGGACCCUGGGUACUCUUAAAUACAGGCUUCCCUUUUAUCUGGCUCUUUGAAAAGUGGAUUUUCUUUGGUAGAGGGCUUCCUCAAAGAGCACCAAAUAUGAAAACCGACUGCAGUAUUGUUUGGCUCUUCAUUCAGGCAAAAUGGAAGCCCUGUUUUACAACAAUACCGAAAGAAACCAGGGGCCCUGCAUAUGGAGAUUUAUCUCUACUCUGAGGAUUCUGUAAUAUGGAUAAAAGAGCAAAAGGCAUGGGGUUCUGCCUGAGUCAUUAGCGUGACCAGUAGUAGCACAUAGAGACAGCUGAUUAGGAUAGCUUCUGCCCCCAGCUGAGCAGAAUGGUAGGGGUAUCCCAAAUGCAGUGAUGUUGCACCUCCCCUUGUAUUUUCUCCUUUAAUUUCCAUGGAAUGGAAGAUCAUUACAUGAAGAAAUGGAAAGAAACUCUUGGAUAAUUUGAGGUAGAAUGACUGAGAAACCUUCGUCUCUAUAUUGACGAGUGAGUCAUAGAGGUAGGAGAGUUUUUAGAGGAAGCCUUUAAAUGAUAUAUUAAAGUUAGUAAUAUGGUAGUGAAGGAAGUGUUUAGUAUACCUGCUUCCUGGUUCUUGCUUUAUUUGUGGGCGACAUGAGGUUCAAUAAAGCUUACCCUUUAAAACAGGGUUACUGUUCCCCUUGUUAUUUUUGAAGUGCAUUUUAUUAGCUAGAGAAUUAAUUCAAGGUACAUUAUAUAUGAAUUCAGCCUUUUUUUCAUUUUUUCUUGAACUAGACUUAAUAGAAUACCCUCAGUAUUAAGGAGACAAAUUCUCUCUAUUGACUUACUAUGUUUAUUUUUGUUUGAUAAAUAUUACUAGGGGUGGGAUAUUUCAUUGUUUUUAAUUAUCAAUAUGGUUUUCUGUGAAUAAAUCAGGAAUUACUUUUUCUUCUGUGUCCAGAGAGCUAAGACAGUAUGAAUCCAAAUAAUGUCUGCUCUUUCAGACAUGGUCACUUUUUGCUUAGUUGCGGAUUAAUUUUUUUCUCUUUUAUUCAUGUUCAAGGUGUCUCUAGCAUAAAAUGUAGACAACCAUGCUCAUUUUACUUUUUUAUAUCAUAAUUAAAACAAUAGCUAUCCUCAUUGUGGAAUGGAGCUGAAGGUCCUACAACUGAAUAAUUCUCAGUAGCCAAUUUUUAUUGUCUCCACAGUGGUUGCUUAAGGAAAGGAAAAAACAGCUUUCUAUGUAAGUAAUGAUAACGACCUCUAGUUACCAAAAGAGUAACCUAUUUGUAUGUUAUAGAACAAGUCAAAAGUAGCAAGGAUUCCUCCUUUAAAAUGACAACUGGGUUUCGGUAAUUUUAAAUUUUGGUGCCUAUUCACUCAUAUGGGUUCCCUUUACUUAUAAUCUUUUCUCAUACCUUUUUUUUAUUUUAAUUUUAAUUUUUUUGCUAAAGGAUUGGUUUGUGUUGAUACUUGUAUGGUACCCAUGCUCCUCCUGCCUGAAUCAAGUUAUUAUUAAUAUAUCCUCAGUCUUAGAAGUUGAAACAAAUCAAUAAGCCUUUCAGAUGAGGUAUGAUUGACAGAUUUUUGACCAUAUACUGACUAGUAUUGAAAAGGAAAAAAGAAUGAAGAAUUCCUUAUCUGUAUAUUUACAAAGAACAAUUUAGAUUCUAAAAAGUAAAUUACAAAACAUGGUAUCUUCUCUGUUGAGAGUCAGGUGGAUUUUGGUUCACUUUUUUCCUAAAACUAGUGUCAGUUCAGUGAAUAUAGUAAAUAUGUAAAGGAAGAAGACAUUUUGAGGAAGCCUUUCUCUAUGAUUAUAACUUAAUAUUACUUUAUAAGAAGAAUAUGUAAAGGUCAGGAAUUUUGAGAAUCCCUAAAAGAUUUUUAAUAAAUUUAUAUGAAGAAAAUUAGUCUAAAAUAAAAAUAUAUUUACCACUUAAAGUAAUGUAUAAGUAAAAAGAAGGUAAAUGCUGAAUAAUUUUCAGGACCAUCCCCCCCACAAUAGGUAUUGAACCAUGCCUUUCUCUUUUGGUCUUAGAGUUUGGGCUCUACAAUUUCAUUCUUUUUACAUUCGUUGCCUGACAGGGUCACCCUUUGGGUUGUUGUUGCUUCAGUUUUUCUUUGCUACAAGGCAUGUUCAUGGUGGAUUUCCAGUGGGGACGACCAUACCUGCUCUUUCUACCUUUUUAUAGGUGCUGUCAAUAUACUUUGUAGUAAAGAAUUGGAACAACCCGGGUGCCUUCCCCUAGAGGAAUGGGUGAGUAAAUCAUGUCCUCACGUACGAACGUAACAUAUUAUUGUACAGGAAUAAAGAAUUAAUAUUAGGAAAUGAAGAAACAUUUAAAGACUUCUUUGAAUUUAUGAGUGAAGUAAGCUCAAUCUGGAGCAGAUUAUAUACAAUGACUACAAUUAUCUAAGUGAAAAAAAAAACAAACAUUAAAAAGAAGAUAACUUCUAGCUAACUGUAAUGACCUGUUUUGAUUAUAGAAAGCAGGUAAUGCAUUCUGCUUCCCCUCCUUGGGAUGAGAGAUUUGAAUGUAUGGCCACACAUUAUUACUUACAUUAUUAGCCAGGGUGACCUUGGAGUUGGUAAUGCCUAACCAUUUUUGUUUACGACAAGGCAGAUUUAGUGUGGAACUGCAACGUUCUGAUCAUAUCUUUUCACCUAAUAAGGCAGUUAUAUAUUUUUUAUCAAAGAACUGAAAAUAAACUAGGUGCCCUUCACUCAGGGAAUGACUGAAUAAAAUGUUUUUCAGUACCCAUGUAAUAUAUUAUUAUGUCAUUUGAAAGGACAUGUGAGGAAUUCAGAGAAAUAUGAGAAGGCCUAUAUAAACUGAUGCAACAAGCAAGCAUAUUCAAGAGAAUAAUAUAUAUACAUAUAAAAGUAUAUACAAUAAAUGAAAAGAAUGAAAAAAGGAACCCAAACUCUGCAUAUAGUUAGAAUGACUCUUCUUGGUUCCAAAGACCAGAUAAUGAAAUGUGCCUUCUUCUCUUGGCUGAAAUUUGGGCAACUAUGGGUACAGCAUGUUGCAUUCCCUCUCUGAGUCACCAAAUUAGUGGCUACUGUUUGUUUUUCUUUGUUACAAUGAAUUGUUUGAUGCUAAAACAGAACAAGAUUGACUAUUCCUGCUUCUUCUACCUUGAAGUAGGUGUUGCUCAUAGGCAUGAGCUUGAUGCAUUCCCUGGAUGAAAGAAACUGAAUACAAGUUGCAAUACUAUUGGUACAUACAACAAAACCCCUAUAUAAUGCUGGUGUUAUAAAGGAAGGAUAGGCUAAAACCAACAGUAUAAAGGUAAGAGGGCACCAAGCUAAUAUUUAAGUUCUAUACUACCAUAUUCAGCCAGAUUUUUGCCCAUUUCUGGUGUUAGGAGACAUGGUUUGAUUUGCAAUUUUUAAAAUAAUGAGCUCUUGUAUAAUGGGUUCUGUCCUUGUUGCAAUCAUCAGAUUGCCUUUCAGGGCCAGAGAAGGGCCCUUUUCUGGCUAGGAGAACUUCCUGUUCCUCCCUCUGAUCCCCUGCCACUCAUACCCCUAGCCUAAGAAAUCUUGCUGCCUUUGCAGCCACCUGGAAAGUCACACAUGCUGGUGUCACAAUAUUCCCAAAGAAGGGCAAGAAUCAAGUCUCUAAUUGCAGAGGCUUGGUUACGGGAGCCUUGGGUCACAUUCCAGCCAGUGCCUUUUCAAGCACAGCCUCUGAACAAAUUGGAAAGUCCUUCCAAAAAAGAGCUCAACCAGGGAAGAGUGAGCAAAGAGGAGGAGGGAAGAGGGAGAAAGGGAGAUCUCCAGCUGUCAGCAGUCAGACAGCAGUGGCAAGCUUGGUGCCGCUGGAGAGAUUUUUUUUUUAAUCUCCCUACAAAGUGAUCCCCUUCCAUUAUGCUGAAAUCUAAGAAAAGCCCUUUGCCCAUGGACUUUCCUUUCUAUUAUGGCCCAGCUUUGCCCCUCACACCUCCUAAAUGCUGGAACAUAUCACAGAAUAUUCUGAAAUAUGUCCCUUAUUAUAAAAUCUGAGACUCUCAGGCCAGACUCUUGUGCAGUGCCAUGGGUCUGUUUUACAAGAAGCAUCUUACAAAAUUUCCCACAGCAAUUCUCUAAAGACCCACUUCUAAGUUUAUAUAAGGGUUAUAACAUUUGUUGGGAAUACCCACAAUAUACUUGAAGUGUUUAAGUAAAGACUUAGAUAUGGGAAGGACUUUUGAAAUGAUCUUAUCCGUCCUCCCACUCUAUCAUAUUGCUGAGGGAUGGGUGGAUGGAGGGGGAGCUUCUCUGAGCCUCUGUUUGAAUGCUUAGUGUCAGAAAGCUCACACUCCCUUCUGAGGCUUACUGAUCCAUUGCAGGACAAGAUCAUUGUUGCUUCUUGUACUAGUCAACAAUUUUUCUCCCUGUGACUUCCACAGAAUGGCACACAGUUACACGGCAUAAUCUUCCCCAAAAUCAUUUUCUCUCCAUUGUUCAUUCCUCUCUAGCUACCAAGGAAGGAAUUAAUCCCAAAGGGGAAUACAGUUCAGCAAUGUCAAAAAUUCUAAAGGCUGAAGUGUUUAUGACUUCCCUAAGGUCUAGAAGAAAGCAUUUUACUUUUAGGACCUUAACCAAAGAAAUACUAACCCAGCCUUAAAAAAUAAUAACAAUAAGUACCAACCCAAGAGAACUAUGUUUCUAGCCCAAUACUAGACUACAUUCACCCUGGGAGCUACAAAGACAUAUAAAGCACAUUCCCGGCCCUCAACACAACCUCAAGCUCACCAUUUGGCAAGGGAGCCCAGGCUCAAACAUAGAUUAAGCUGAGUAACAAUAUAAGACAACAACAGAAGAACACUCACUGGACAAUAUAUGAUGUGAGUGCCAACUAAACAAUACAGUACAAACAAAUGCUGUUUGAGUUCACAAGAGGGAGAGGUCCCCUGAAACUGUAGAAUCAGGGAAGGCUUCAUGGAGAAUGUUGGGCUUAAGUUGAGCCUUUGAAAGAUGACAGGGUUCAAGUCUCAUCUCCUCUGUGAAGCUCAAUUCAAAUGUCCCUCUUCAGAAGUCUCACUGUGGUGUGGAGAAGGUGACUGGGAAUCCUUGAAGUCUGUGCUUCGGGGGUAGGGGAACAAGCUUUGCCAGGACGGGCCAAGGAUGGACCGUUGCAUGAGGAUCAGCCAAGCUAAGUUCAUAAAGACUUAGGGCCAGGUCGGCCUCAUGGAGAUGAAAGUUUUUGGAAACAAUACCCCUCAAAGAACAUCGGCUAAGCCACAGAGGGAAUUAAAAUCUGUCUCAGUGGAAGGAGUUCCCACACCAGUAAAACUACAGAUCCUUGAAGUGUUGAAUCAUUUGAAAGAUGGGAGAUGGGGUUGGAAAAGGUAGUAUGGCACUAGAAUGUAGCCACCAGCCUAAGGAAUCUGGAAUUGAUGCUAUUAGGAACAGGGAACCCCUGGAAAGUCUUUGAACAGGGAAGUGACAUAACAAAUGAAAUCAGUAGUCUAGUGACAGCUCUGGCAUAAUCCCUCCCUCUCCCUGAGCAACCGACUCUUUAACAGGCUUCACUCAGCCAUCCUAAGAGGGAGUUCAGCCUACAGUGUCUGUGGCUCCAUAACCCCUUCAGGAGCAUACCUGGAGCCACUCGGAGCCAAUGCUCCGUUAGGCACAAUGGUUUCUAGGAGCCAAUGCCCCAUUAAGCACAAUCGUUUAUAGGAGCCAAUGCCCCAUUAAGUACAAUGGUUUCCAGGAGCCAAUGCUCCAUUGAGGAAAAUGGUCUUGGGCCAAAAAAUAGGGUGUGGCUCUCUGGAGAGACCACAUUGCUCCAUGGUUCUUAUUAUUUUCCCUGCCUGGCAGCUCUCUGAGCCCAGAGUAUCAGUUAUUCCAAAGCUGCUCACACAGUUUGGACAAAAUGAUCUCUCUCUGUUUUUUCCUCCCUAGAAAUGCCAGGAAAUCAAAUGCUUUAGAUCAAGGUACAUGUAUUAUUUGCAAGCCUUGGGAUGCUUGCUUCUACAAUGUAGCUAAUUAGUAGAACAGGAGCUCAGGCCAGUUUGCCCUCAAGGCCUCAGUUUCACCAGCUGCAAAUUUACAAAGUAGGACCAGAAUAUCUCUAAGGUCCCUUCAAAAGAAUCUUGGACUUGAAAUCAGCAGACUGAGUUCAAAUCUCAUCUUUGCCUCUCUUGUGAUUUUAGGCAAGUACUUCCCAAGAUGAAUUCUCCAUCUGUUGUGAGAAGGAGGACUGGAUAGUCUUUUAAGAACAACAGAAAGUUCUCUAACUCUGAGGUGUGAUGACCCUAUUUCAGGCCAUAUUCUCCUGAGGGGGUACAGAAAUCAUCCCUCAUAUUGUCAGGGUAGAAAUCAUCUGCUAAGUUUUUGUAGGAUUGUAGGGAUGCUUCCCCAAAUCCCCCUUAUAUUUCUUGUCCUCCUUUUGAUCUUCUCUCAAGACCCCAGAUGAGCUAAGGCUAUGUACACUAGGUACUGAUUAACACAACGAAGGGGUUUUACAGCAGAGUAUUUGACCGACCUUUGUAACCAUCUUUGAAGAAUAUUCUUCCAAUUGGGCUUCUGCUUCCAUUUCCGCUUCCGCUUCUUUUUCCUCUUUCUUUUUCUUUUUCUUUUACGCAUCCUGAUCUGGAUGAUCUGGUCUCUCUCACAUUGUUGACUUGCUUCUGGUCCUG